rnacentral:rRNA from 1 species
CAGAUGGGGAUAGCUAUUAGAAAUAGUAGAUAAUACCGAAUACGAGCACAGGGGUUAGAGAUCUGUGAGGAAAGGAGCUAAGGCUCCGCUGAAAGGAAUGGCCUGCGGCCCAUUAGCUAGUUGGUGAGGUAAGAGCCCACCAAGGGCGAUGAUGGGUAUCCGGCCUUAGAGGGUGAACGGACACAUUGGGACUGAGAUACGGCCCAGACUCCUACGGGAGGCAGCAGCUAAGAAUAUUCCGCAAUGGACGAAAGUCUGACGGAGCGACGCCGCGUUGGAUGAAGAAGGCCGGAAGGUUGUAAAAUCCUUUUGAAACUGAAGAAUAAGCGUUGUAGGGAAUGACAGCGUGGUGACAGUAGGUUUUGAAUAAGCAACGGCUAAUUACGUGCCAGCCGCCGC